rnacentral:rRNA from 1 species
GACGAACGCUGGCGGCGUGCUUAACACAUGCAAGUCGAACGUGAUUUUUGUGGAAAUUCUUUCGGGAAUGGAAAUGAAAUGAACGUGGCGAACGGGUGAGUAACACGUGAGCAACCUACCUUACACAGGGGGAUAGCCGUUGGAAACGACGAUUAAUACCGCAUGAGACCACAGAAUCGCAUGAUAUAGGGGUCAAAGAUUUAUCGGUGUAAGAAGGGCUCGCGUCUGAUUAGCUAGUUGGAAGGGUAAAGGCCUACCAAGGCGACGAUCAGUAGCCGGUCUGAGAGGAUGAACGGCCACAUUGGAACUGAGACACGGUCCAAACUCCUACGGGAGGCAGCAGUGGGGAAUAUUGCACAAUGGGGGGAACCCUGAUGCAGCGACGCCGCGUGAGCGAAGAAGGUUUUCGAAUCGUAAAGCUCUGUCCUAUGAGAAGAUAAUGACGGUAUCAUAGGAGGAAGCCCCGGCUAAAUACGUG